UACGGGGGGAGCUAGCGUUGUUCGGAAUUACUGGGCGUAAAGCGCGCGUAGGCGGCUUUGUAAGUUAGAGGUGAAAGCCCGGGGCUCAACCCCGGAAUUGCCUUUAAGACUGCAUCGCUUGAAUCCGGGAGAGGUGAGUGGAAUUCCGAGUGUAGAGGUGAAAUUCGUAGAUAUUCGGAAGAACACCAGUGGCGAAGGCGGCUCACUGGACCGGUAUUGACGCUGAGGCGCGAAAGCUAGGGGAGCAAACGGG
rnacentral:rRNA from 1 species